ensembl:lncRNA
CUUGCCCACCAGGCUUGGCCCACUGGCACUCCAGUGAAGGUUUUACUGCUUGCCUGUGCUGUCCUGUACUUCCCUGACCACCAGCUCAGCCCAGUAACUGCGGGCCAGUUCUGGCUCAGGGCAGCCCAGCAAACUUCCCCACAGCCUAGUGGGUUACAAUCGCAACCUCUUCAAGAAGGCUGGAAUCUCAUAUCUGAGAUCUUUGGGGAUAGGUAAUUGGUUGCAGUGUUUCUCGGAAAGAAGUAGAUGGGCAGGCUACUAAAAUAUUUCUUGAUCUAUGUAACAGAAAAAUCUGUAAGUCUGGCCAAAAACCUGACUUGAGUAGCCAGUUUCCAGACCUAAGUCAGGGCACAGACCCAGAGCCUCUUGACCGAAAGGGACCCUGGAGCCCCUUGAGGAAGGCCUCUGCUGCAUUUUUACAAGUAGGCGCUGUGAAUCUUCUUCUAAUCCUCAUCCAAAGGACAUCAGGCCAGUUACGGGAGGGAUUGUGCAAGACUCAAACAUUUUGAAGAUUACUGGACACCGGCUGUGAAUUGACACUAAUUCCUGGGCAUCCAAAAUGUGGCUCUGAUCUACCAGUCAAAGUGGGGGCUAUAGUGAUCAAGUAACAGAUAGAGCCUUAGCUGAAGUUUAACUCACACUGGGCCUAAUUCAUCCACAGACCCAGCUUGUGGGUUAUUUCCCCAGAUCUUGAAUGUAUAACUGUAAUACACUUACUUGGAAACUGGAAGUAUCCCCCACAUUGACUCUUAGACCCACAGGAUGAGAGUCAUUAUGGUAAGGCUAAAUAGAAACACCUGGAACUGCCCCUUCAUACCAAGCUAAUAAAUCAGAAGCAGUAUUGUAUCUCUGGGGAAAUUCCAGAGAUUUAUGCCAAUAUCCAUCAUUGAAAGAAGUCAGAGUGGUGAUACCUAUCAUGUUCCCUUUUAACUCACCUGUUUGGCCUGUGCAGACAUUGGACGAUUAUUGGAGAAUAACUGUGGUUUGUCAUAAACUGAAUCAGGCAGUGAUUCCAAAUGCAGCUGUCGUCUCUGUUGAACCUUUACUGGAGCAAAUCAGUGCAAUUCCCAGCCUUUGAGAGCUCAUGGAUGCUGUGCCCUCCGUGUCACCACGCCAUUUUUCAGCUAGUGCUAAUUCAGUGACCACUGCUGCACGCCAAGGCUGAGAGAGAGAGACAGAGAGAGGAGAAGCUGAGCAAAGGCAAGGCCUUCCCAUGUUUCUACACGCAUCCCUCUCCUUGGCCGCCCCAACGAGGUGGCUCCCACCAGACAGCUGCCCUGCGGUCUGCUGCUUCCCCGCCCCAGGAGAAGGUCAGGACCUUGCCUGACCAUCAUGAGAAUGACAUCUUAUUCCACCUGUAUUUGACAGAGGCCUGUGGGCCUUUUCCCUCAGGUACGUGGAGAAUACAAUCCUUCCUGUCAGUCUUUGCAAUACAGCACGAGCUGCCCACCUGAGGGUCGACAGGGUAUUUUGUGGCAUUUGUGCAUAGAGUGGGCGUUAUCCGUAUCCUUCUAGAAACAAUCAAUGGUUGAGUAGGAUUACCUCAUGCUCUUCCUUGCCUAUUAGUUAGCUCUCACUAUGGAAGGUGCUUGCUCCUCACUUCUGCCAAGCUCUGCCCUCCAUAAACCGACUCAUACCUAGUGCACGUGGAUUCCUCCUCCUUCUCAACUUAGCAUUGGUCUGCUCCAUGCUCUUGAGCUUUCGCUUUUCCAUAGUCUUUGCUGAGCUCUGAUUAUUCCUUAUAAGUCCUGUUCCCUCAACUAGGUUGUAAGUCCUGCAAGGCCCCGGGUGAUGUCUCACUCUCCCUUCGGCUCCCCCAGCCUCCGUGGCCUCUAGUAUGGUGCCUGGGAGAGACUUGAG